AAGUCGUAACAAGGUUUCCGUAGGUGAACCUGCGGAAGGAUCAUUCACAAUGAGUGUUUAAUGGCACUCCAAAUCCAUUACCCACCUUGUGUGCAUUGUCGGGAGGACUCUUUUUCCCAAUCUUCUCUCUCACUCUCUCCUUUCUCCUCUUCCCCCCUCUCCUCUCUCUUUGAGGGAGAGGGAAAGAGGGGAACUCCAUUUCAUUCAUACUCUGUUCUUCAGUAUCUGUCUACUUCAAUUGAGUAUAAAACUCGAAUACAACUUUCAACAACGGAUCUCUUGGCUCUC
rnacentral:misc_RNA from 1 species